rnacentral:ribozyme from 1 species
AAAAGUGGAUGAUGUUCGUACAGUGCUUGGUGGUCUUGAAACGCAAUAAUGCUUUCUAUUUUCUUUGUUGAAACGACCACUUCCUUCUAAUAAUGCUUUCUAUUUUC